ACCGAAGAGGAUCAAAGAGUCCCAAGCGAAGACAAAAGAGUCAGAGACACACCUGCUCCCGCUGUGGGGAGUCCCACAAACCACCAAGCUAACAGCCAUAACAUACACACAGAGAGCCUGAUGCAGACCCAGCCUGCCCUGCGUUUGCCUUAAGCCAGAAUUUGAUCACUCAGUAAUUAGGUUUGUAUUUACAGAGAACUUCAAUCAAGUUUAAAGAAAAUCCCAGGACACCAUUAAAAAGAGCUAUCUGUUCCUUGUCCCUGUCCGAAGUCCAACACUAACAACUAAAAACAACCAUGAGAGUACGCCCAUGCAGUAAUUCCAGCCUGAGGACCCAGAAGAUUCCAACGUCUUUGGUGUAAAGAGGCCUGGUGUUUGCCUGUAGCCUAUGAAGUCUUCUCAUGUGCCUUAAGUCAACUCUGUGGAGUCUUCGUAGCAUCUCCUUGCUGUGGUGAAUCUUCACCCCUGCUGGGGCCUAGAAUCACCACAGAAACAAGCACACUGUGUUUGUGAGGCUGUUUCUAGAGAGGUUUAAGAGAGCAGGGAAGGGAAGACAGGUCCUGGAUGCGGAUGGCAGCGUCCUCUCAGCUGAGGUCCCACGCGGGAUAAGAGGAGGAAGGCAGCUGCACCCCGGCCUUCAUCCCGCCCUGCUUUCUGACUGUGGACACACGUGAGCAGCAUCACCGUGCCACCGUGAUUCAGCCCCAUGAAAGGCUCAAACUGUAACCAAAAGAAGCCCUUCCUUCCUGAAGUUGCUUCGGCCAGGCAGUUUUGUCACCACCACAAGGAGAGUAGGCUUCAAGCUGUGGGAAGGGUGCCCGUUUGGCUCCCUCCCUCCUUUUCUCUCUCACAAGAAUACAGACUGGCGCAUUGGCCAUCUUGUCACUCUGAGACGGAGCUAAGAACCAGGCUGAAGCAGUAAAGCACAAGGAGUCUGGGUCCUCCAUGCUGCCAAGCUGACUCCGCGCCGGAACUGGGGCCUCCUACAAAGGCGCAUCGCUCAUCCAGGGAUGGUGCAGAUUCACAGGCAGACUGUGACAGUUCUCUGCAGCAUCGUAGGGAAGCAGCUAAUUUAACAAAAAUCAGCA